rnacentral:rRNA from 1 species
UACGUAGGGGACAAGCGUUGUCCGGAUUUAUUGGGCGUAAAGAGCGUGUAGGCGGCCAGGUAGGUCUGCUGUGAAAACUCGAGGCUCAACCUCGAGACGUCGGCGGAAACCAUCUGGCUAGAGUCCGGAAGAGGAGAGUGGAAUUCCUGGUGUAGCGGUGAAAUGCGCAGAUAUCAGGAAGAACACCCGUGGCGAAGGCGGCUCUCUGGGACGGUACUGACGCUGAGACGCGAAAGCGUGGGGAGCGAACAGG